rnacentral:rRNA from 1 species
AGUGAACGCUGGCGGUAGGCCUAACACAUGCAAGUCGAGCGGCAGCACAGUAAGAGCUUGCUCUUACGGGUGGCGAGUGGCGGACGGGUGAGGAAUACAUCGGAAUCUACUUUUUCGUGGGGGAUAACGUAGGGAAACUUACGCUAAUACCGCAUACGACCUACGGGUGAAAGCAGGGGAUCUUCGGACCUUGCGCGAUUGAAUGAGCCGAUGUCGGAUUAGCUAGUUGGCGGGGUAAAGGCCCACCAAGGCGACGAUCCGUAGCUGGUCUGAGAGGAUGAUCAGCCACACUGGAACUGAGACACGGUCCAGACUCCUACGGGAGGCAGCAGUGGGGAAUAUUGGACAAUGGGCGCAAGCCUGAUCCAGCCAUACCGCGUGGGUGAAGGAGGCCUUCGGGUUGUAAAGCCCUUUUGUUGGGAAAGAAAAGCAGCAGGUUAAUACCCCGCUGUUCUGACGGUACCCAAAGAAUAAGCACCGGCUAACUUCGUG